UACAGAGGCCCCAAGCGUUACUGAGAAUCACUGGGUUUAAAGGGUGCGUAGGUGGUCCGUUAAGUCUGUUGUGAAAGCCCUUGGCUCAACCAAGGAAUUGCUUCGGAUACUGGCGGACUUGAGGCUAGUAGAGGUCACUGGAACUGACGGUGGAGCGGUGAAAUGCGUAGAUAUCGUCAGGAACGCCGGUGGUGAAGACGGGUGACUGGGCUAGUUCUGACACUGAGGCACGAAAGCGUGGGGAGCGAACGGG
rnacentral:rRNA from 2 species